UUCAAGUGGAAGAUCUCAACAGUUGAACAGGAGCAAGUACUUUUAACCCAACUGCUGAAUCUCAGCUAAGGGUUCAGAUUAUCAGGAGAAAAUAUGAUACAGGAACUGGCUUGGAAUGUUUCCCUGGACUGAGCACCUCAACGUGGCAGAGAGAUUUCCAUGGGUCAUUCCUUUGCAACUGCAAAGAGUUCACAGCAGGGUCUGUGCUAAUGGAUGAAAGGAUGGGUUUCAGGACGAUAGAGAUGGGUGCACUUCAGAUAAAAAGUGAAGAAGGAAAUCUGAGUACACUCAAUAAGAUCCAAGAAGAACUGUGGAGAAAGACACAUGCAUCUCAGUGCAGAGCUCGGCAAAGAGUAGGACACGAUUUAGUGGCUAAACAAACAAAAAAGUGACAGAAAAAGCAACUGGACAAAUUAAAUGAUUGUAGAAAUUGAGGCUUCGCAGUCAACGUGG
rnacentral:lncRNA from 1 species